rnacentral:rRNA from 1 species
GUGGGGAAUAUUGGGCAAUGGGCGAAAGCCUGACCCAGCAACGCCGCGUGAAGGAAGAAGGUCUUCGGAUCGUAAACUUCUAUCCUUGGUGAAGAUAAUGACGGUAGCCGAGAAGGAAGCCCCGGCUAACUACGUGCCAGCAGCCGCGGUAAGACGUAGGGGGCGAGCGUUGUCCGGAAUUACUGGGCGUAAAGAGCACGUAGGCGGGAACUUAAGUCAGGUGUGAAAGACCGGGGCUCAACUCCGGGGUUGCACUUGAAACUGGGUUUCUUGAGGGCAGGAGAGGAAAGCAGAAUUCCUGGUGUAGCGGUGAAAUGCAUAGAUAUUAGGAGGAACACCAGUGGCGAAGGCGGCUUUCUGGACUGUAACUGACACUGAGGCACGAAAGCGUGGGGAGCAAACAGGAUUAGAUACCCUAGUAGUCC